UCUUUAAGUAUAGAAGAAUAUCAGAAGUUAUUUUGUUGCUGUGUUCUUUUAAGAACAGUAGUGUUUGGUUUUCUCCUAGGUUCUUGACCUAUCUACUCUCAGGUUUAGCCACCCAAACAGUGGCUAAGAAGUGUCCAGGAUGGAUUCUAUUUUAGGGAGUGGGCCUUAGAUCAAAUCAGAUAUUGGUUGGUGUUACUCUUACAGUUUUGAAUCAUUAUUGCACAGUAUCUUGUAUGCAGGGCACCAUUGUAACUCAAAGGAUUUGUAACUGGGUUGGUGUUUACAGUUUUUCCCUUUCGUUGCAGAAUACGUUCCAGUUCCAUGAACACUACUAGUGGUGUAGUUGAGGAUUGCCUAUUAUCCUGCCUUAGCAUCUUAGGAGCUGGAAUUGCAGGUGCAU